GGAUCGAGCAAGGCGACACUGCUCAGCUAGGGAUUUUCUUCCAUGGCCGCCAAAUCAAAGGUCUAAGUCCCAGGUGAAUAUGUGCUCCUUUUGAAUCCUCUCUCUCUCUCUAGCAUAUCCCCUUACCAUGAUUCAUAUUUUGUGCCUCAAUUUCGUUCCUACAAGUGAUGAAUCAUCUCUUUACCACAUUCAUGCCCCAUGUUUGGUGGCCUUUUUGUGCUUGCUCCGUCUAUUUUACAUUUUAAAUUGAUUGUACCGGGUGCUACAACGACGAUGGAUUGUAUUCUAACCCUUGUGAUUAACUGAUGUCUGAACCAUGCUAUAAAUGCUAGCAUCCAGUCAGGAUUUAUUCAAAGCAUGAUCUUUGUUUAAGUAUGUCAGUAAAAAAGCUCAUGUAUGAUUCUGACCUGAAUAUGUAGGUGCAAUCUCACACAAAGGAAGAGACAAGAUAAUUUGAUGACAAUGACUCAUGAAUGGAAAUAAAACACCAGCGUGAAUGAUUUGCUCUUUUUUCCUAGCUUAAGUUAUUGAUUGAGAUGGAGAUUCAUGCUGUUAUUCUAAUUUUACACCCUUGUGUUCUUGGCAAAUAUUACAUUAUUUGGUUCAUAUGAAUGAGCACUUUUGAUGUUGUCUGCUUUCCUGAAUGAACCGUUGAUUUAGAACUACAUGACAGAGUCUUGUUGCCAUAUGUGGUGUCCUUUCAUGUUCAUAUAAAUCUGCAACAUGGGUGUUACUCAUGUUUCCUCAACCAACUUAUAGUCACUUUUGACUGGCAAGUGUAUCUUAACGGGCAUUCUGAUCUGUCUUUUUUGUUAGCUGCAACUUCAAAAGCGCAGUGAUGAUAUUUUCUUACAGUUACUUCAAUUACAACACUUGGUUUAUCUUUA
rnacentral:lncRNA from 1 species